rnacentral:lncRNA from 1 species
UCGUAUACUGGGGAAACUCCUUUGUAUACGGCGGAUCUGUCGGCGUGCCCAGGGAACGUGAUAUCCGGGGCGUGACAGUAGUUGUUGUCAUUUCUUACUAAGAAAGUCUUUUCAAGUUACCAUAUUUUUUCUAAUUACAUUUCACAAAUUAAUUUAUUGUAAGCCUUUUCAAGUUACCAUAUUUUUUCUCAAUAUAUUUCACAAAUUAAUUUAUUAUUUGUUACUAUUUAAUGACCCACCAUCUUUCUUUCUAAAACUGCAUCUUAUUUAGUAACUGUCACGGAACAUUAUUUCUAUUAUUUAUAUUUUUAAAAUUUCAUUCAUUCUUAAAAUUACUUCAAGUUAUAUAUACAGUAACUCCUAAAUAAUUUAAUCCUAUAAUUUUGCUCUCGCAGGCGGCGG